rnacentral:rRNA from 1 species
UACGUAGGGGGCAAGCGUUGUCCGGAUUUAUUGGGUGUAAAGGGUGCGUAGGCGGCCCUGUAAGUCAGUGCUGAAAUCUCCCAGCUUAACUGGGAGGGUGGCAUUGAUACUGCGGUGCUAGAGUACAGAUGAGGUAGGCGGAAUUGACGGUGUAGCGGUGAAAUGCUUAGAUAUCGUGAAGAACACCUAUAGCGAAGGCAGCUUACUAGGCUGUAACUGACGCUGAGGCACGAAAGUGUGGGGAUCAAACAGG